rnacentral:rRNA from 1 species
CGACCAGACUCCUACGGGAGGCAGCAGUGGGGGAUAUUGCACAAUGGGGGGAACCCUGAUGCAGCGACGCCGCGUGGGUGAAGGAGCGUUUCGGCGCGUAAAGCCCUAUCGGCAGGGAAGAAGGAGGACGGUACCUGACUAAGAAGCCCCGGCUAACUACGUGCCAGCAGCCGCGGUAAUACGUAGGGGGCGAGCGUUAUCCGGAAUUACUGGGUGUAAAGGGAGCGUAGACGGCGAGGUAAGCCUGAAGUGGAAGCCCGCGGCCCAACCGCGGAACUGCUUUGGGAACUGUUUUGCUGGAGUAUGGGGGGGGUAAGCGGAAUUCCUGGUGUAGCGGUGAAAUGCGUAGAUAUCACGCAGAACCCCGAUUGCGAAGGCAGCAUACCGGUGCACAACCGACGCUCAGGCACGAAAGCGUGGGUAUCGAACAGGAUUAGAUACCCUAGUA